AAAUUAAAUUUUACCCAAUUGAAAUACAUCAAACGUAUAAAUGGUGGAUUAACAAUUUGGUAGUCACUCUAAUCUCUCCUUCCAAAACUAAUUACACCACUUAGUAAUUACUGAAGAUAUAUACCACACAAGUAUAUAUACGACAGAAGGGAACCGCCAACGUGUAAAAGUCACGCCGUUGGUUAAUAUCCGCUCUCCGGGAGACAAAUUUGUCGAAUCAACGAUCACAUUUAUCAAAAUCAAGGAAACUAGGGUUUAUAAGUAGCAAUUCGAAAUUUAUUCUCUCCCCGUGUGAUGCGGUAGGAUCAACAUAUAUACAGGAAAAUGGAUAGCGACGAGGAAGAUUUCGUGUUCUAUGGAACACCUAUAGAACGAGAGGAAGAUGUGAGCAGCCGCAAGAAGAAGGCCAUUGCUGAGGCCUCUGGCCUGUUGCGAACUCUUCCCGUAUGGAAACAAGAGGUCACAGAUGAAGAGGGACGGAGGAGAUUUCAUGGGGCAUUUACUGGCGGUUUUUCUGCUGGAUACUACAAUACAGUUGGCUCGAAAGAAGGAUGGACUCCACAGACAUUUACGUCGUCUAGGAAAAACAAAGCUGAAGUCAAACGACAGAGUCUCUUUAACUUCUUGGAUGAUGAUGAGAAAGCUGAAAUGGAGGGUCGUCUAGGGACAUCGAUGCAGUAUGAUACAUUUGGAUUUACUGCUGCUGAACUUGCUCGUAAACAAGCUGAAAAGGAGCAAAAGCAGAGGCCCUCUGCUAUACCUGGACCAGUUCCGGAUGAAGUGGUACUUCCAGUGACAGGGUCCAUUGGGCUCACAUUACUGCAGAAGAUGGGAUGGAGACGUGGUCGCUCAAUUAACAGCUCACAUACUGAUUCACUAUAUAAUGCUAAGAGAGAGGCAAGAAAAGCUUUUCUUGCAUUUUCUUUUGCUGAUGUGGACGCACGACCUUUGGACUCUGGACUAGCUGAAGAUGCUGCUGGGACUAUCCUGGAUCUACCAACUGAUGAUGGGAGCCAGUUUUCUAAAAGCACACCGGUUUAUUUGCUUAAUCCAAAGCAAGAUUUGCAUGGUUUAGGCUAUGAUCCUUACAAAAAUGCUCCUGAGUUCAGAGAAAAGAAGAGAUCACGGCUAUCUAAUAGUAGGGAAAUGGGGCAUCAAGAUAGAGUCUUGAAGGACAGCCUAUUUGGUUUCAAAUCAGGAAGGGUUGCUCCUGGAUUUGGUGUUGGGGCUCUUGAAGAUCUUGAUGUUGAAGAUGAAGAUGUGUAUGGAUCAGGUUAUGACUUUGAAGAGACUUAUGUUGAAGAAGUUGAAGAGCCUUCAAGACCAAAGGUGGAGAAUCUGAAAAUGUUGGACAGGAAGGCACAUGAUAUUUUACCUGGUUUUAGUGCUGCUUCAAAAUCCGACUAUCAGCUGGAAAGAUUCGAAUCUCCUGUGGUACCACAGAAUUUUCUCCCCCAUCAUAAGUUUGCAGCUCCCCUUGAAUCUGAUAACAAGGCUCCUAGUCUUCCUCCCCCUGUUGUUUCUCCCCCGGAGGAUAAUAAUCUUAAAAUAUUGAUUGAAGGGUUGGCUACAUUAGUAGCUCGUUCUGGUAAAUUACUUGAGGACCUUUCCAGAGAAAAAAAUCAGUUCAACCCUCUAUUUGGUUUCUUGAAUGGAGGAGAAGGUCAUGAAUAUUAUGCAAGGAAACUUUGGGAGGAGAGACAGAAACGUAAUGAUCAAGGCAAACAACAGUGGGAUCCAAAAAUGUCUCGGAAAGUGCAGAAGAUGACAGCUGAAAACCGUGGCCAGAUAUUAGGGGAGAAGCCUAUUGAAAGAAGCUUGAGAGCUGCAAAUUCCUCUGGUAUAUCUGCUGAUGCAAUCAAUUUAACGUCCAAUCUUUCAGACACAUUCACCAAACCUGCGUCAAUUAAUGAACUUCUUGAAUCUGCAAAACCUUUUCAAGAUGAUCCUACUAAGCAGGAAAGGUUCGAGCAGUUUCUGAAGGAGAAGUAUCACGGAGGUCUUCGCCCUAAAGACGGUAGUGGAGCAAGUAAUAUGUCAGAAGCUGCCCGUGCUCGCGAAAGAUUAGAAUUUGAGUCUGUAGCCGAGACAAUAAAUAAAGGAAAAAAGGGAAAAGAAAGUGUUCCACCUAGUGAGUUGUUCUCAAGUAUGUUACCUACUGCAGGAUUGCAAUUUACUUCUGGAGCAGCAGAGCUAGCUAAAUUUGGUCAAGAUGAUGGCUUAGCGGCAACAAGUAUGUGCCCAAAACGGGAGGAAUUUCAGUGGAGACCUGCACCUAUUCUGUGCAAGCGCUUUGAUCUUAUUGACCCUUAUAUGGGCAAGCCACCACCAGCUCCUCGUGCGAGGAGCAAAUUGGACUCACUUAUAUAUUUGCCUGAGUCUGUCAAAGCUCCAAAGCUUGAGGAUGAUGUUUCUGGGGGUAGGAGCCAAUUCUCUAUCCAGGAAGGCCAUAUAGAAAAAGGAAAAGAAAUGGCUGACCGGCAAACUGAGGUUGAUGCAGAACCGGAAAAUAUUGAAAGGCCUGUUGAUUUGUACAAGGCUAUAUUCUCUGAUGAUUCGGAUGAUGAAGUGGAAACUAGCAAUCAGGAUGUCACAGAGGAUUCUCAAAAGAAGGUUGAAGCUGUUAAUACAACUUUAAAUCGAUUAAUAGCAGGUGACUUUUUGGAGUCAUUGGGUAAAGAGCUAGGUUUGGAGGUUCCCACCGUUAUGCCUCACCCAGAAAACAAAACCAGUAACCCAGCUAAAAAGGACACUGUUCCGUUAAAUCUGAGAGCAAAGAGCAAUAACCAAUCUGGUAAUGGUACAUCAUCCACUUCCCAUGCUGUUGGUGCGGAUUUGUCAGAUCCGGUGUUGGCAGUAGGAAAUAAUAACCAGAACAUCUCUCAAGAAGGUAUUUUUUCUAAAGAAGGAACUGUAGAUAUCAGCUCUUGGAAAAAUGGUGGCAGAGGAACUGGAACUGAAAGCUACAGGAAUGAUGUUGAUAAGAAUAGGUUUGAAAUGGAAGCUAGAACUCAUGCAAAAGCAAAAGGAGAUCAGUACCGAAAUAAGAACAGCAGUUCAUCAAAGGAUGAAACUGAUAGAAAGCGAAAGCGACCUCACAGAAGCAGCAGUUCAGAUGCAUCUUCUGAUUCAUCCAAGGGUUAUAAAGACCGCCAUUCAAGGUCAUGGAAGAAAAAAACAUCUCAGGAGAAGAGUGGUAGUAGUAAAAGGCACUCAAAGCACCAUAAACAUAGAAGGAGAGACUCUCGGAGUCCUAGUAGACAUUCCCGCCAUGUUUCAGAAAAAGACCGCAGAGAAGCCAAGAGAGAGAAGCGUAAAUACAAGGACUGAAAUGUUUCUACUAUAUGACCUAUUUGAAAUUGGAUCUAAAGAGUUGCUUGAAAUUACUGCUGAAUGCUGAUUGAAUAUCUAUGAUGUCUCAGACAAAUGGUUAGUUACUGCUGGAACAGUUCAUGCUCCUUGGUUUUACUACUAUGUGCCCUUUUGAGUGCUAUGCACAGAGAUCUUUCUCUUGUGUUAAUCUAUGUGUGCAAGAGGCCGGAUUCUGAAGUUCUCACUAGGAACAUCCUUUUGACUUGCAAGAUAUGAUAUUGGUUCGGUCUGUUUUCCGGCUUAUUCCAGUGAUCAAGCUUUUGAUUGUAGCAGUUGUAUUAAUGGAGAAGCUCUCCUUGCGCUUCAGUAAUUGUGCCUGCAUUCUGCUGUUACAAACGUCCUGUGUUUCUGAAUCCCUUUGCCAUAAACGGGAAUAGAAAGCCUUGGCGGUUACAUUAACAAUCAGUAUUCGAAAGUUAGUUACCAAAUUUUGUAUCUUAUAUUCGCGUUAGCAAGAUAAUGAAGA